UGGGGAAUAUUGCACAAUGGGGGAAACCCUGAUGCAGCGACGCCGCGUGAAGGAAGAAGUAUUUCGGUAUGUAAACUUCUAUCAGCAGGGAAGAAAAUGACGGUACCUGACUAAGAAGCCCCGGCUAACUACGUGCCAGCAGCCGCGGUAAUACGUAGGGGGCAAGCGUUAUCCGGAUUUACUGGGUGUAAAGGGAGCGUAGGCGGUUCAGCAAGUCAGAAGUGAAAGCCCGGGGCUCAACUCCGGGACUGCUUUUGAAACUGUUGAACUAGAUUGCAGGAGAGGUAAGUGGAAUUCCUAGUG
rnacentral:rRNA from 1 species